rnacentral:tRNA from 1 species
AGGAGUGUAGCUCAGUGGUAGAGCGUUCGACUGGAGAUCAAGAGAUCCCCGGUUCGAAUCCGGGUGUUUCUA